AGAGUUUGAUCCUGGCUCAGGACGAACGCUGGCGGCACGCUUAACACAUGCGAGUCGAACGAGAGAAGAGGAGCUUGCUUUUCUGAUCUAGUGGCGGACGGGUGAGUAACACGUGAGCAAUCUGCCUUUCAGAGGGGGAUACCGAUUGGAAACGAUCGUUAAUACCGCAUAACAUAAUUGAACCGCAUGAUUUGAUUAUCAAAGAUUUAUCGCUGAAAGAUGAGCUCGCGUCUGAUUAGCUAGUUGGUAAGGUAACGGCUUACCAAGGCGACGAUCAGUAGCCGGACUGAGAGGUUGAUCGGCCACAUUGGGACUGAGACACGGCCCAGACUCCUACGGGAGGCAGCAGUGGGGAAUAUUGCACAAUGGAGGAAACUCUGAUGCAGCGAUGCCGCGUGAGGGAAGAAGGUUUUAGGAUUGUAAACCUCUGUCUUCAGGGACGAAAAAAGACGGUACCUGAGGAGGAAGCUCCGGCUAACUACGUGCCAGCAGCCGCGGUAAUACGUAGGGAGCGAGCGUUGUCCGGAAUUACUGGGUGUAAAGGGAGCGUAGGCGGGAUCGCAAGUCAGAUGUGAAAACUAUGGGCUUAACCCAUAAACUGCAUUUGAAACUGUGGUUCUUGAGUGAAGUAGAGGUAAGCGGAAUUCCUAGUGUAGCGGUGAAAUGCGUAGAUAUUAGGAGGAACAUCAGUGGCGAAGGCGGCUUACUGGGCUUUAACUGACGCUGAGGCUCGAAAGCGUGGGGAGCAAACAGGAUUAGAUACCCUGGUAGUCCACGCCGUAAACGAUGAUUACUAGGUGUGGGGGGACUGACCCCUUCCGUGCCGCAGCAAACGCAAUAAGUAAUCCACCUGGGGAGUACGACCGCAAGGUUGAAACUCAAAGGAAUUGACGGGGGCCCGCACAAGCAGUGGAGUAUGUGGAUUGAUUCGAAGCAACGCGAAGAACCUUACCAGGUCUUGACAUCGUAUGCAUAGCUCAGAGAUGAGUGAAAUCUCUUCGGAGACAUAUAGACAGGUGGUGCAUGGUUGUCGUCAGCUCGUGUCGUGAGAUGUUGGGUUAAGUCCCGCAACGAGCGCAACCCUUACUGUUAGUUGCUACGCAAGAGCACUCUAGCAGGACUGCCGUUGACAAAACGGAGGUAGGUGGGGAUGACGUCAAAUCAUCAUGCCCCUUAUGACCUGGGCCUCACACGUACUACAAUGGCUGUCAACAGAGGGAAGCAAAGCCGCGAGGUGGAGCGAACCCCUAAAAGCAGUCUUAGUUCGGAUUGUAGGCUGCAACCCGCCUACAUGAAGUCGGAAUUGCUAGUAAUCGCAGAUCAGCAUGCUGCGGUGAAUACGUUCCCGGGCCUUGUACACACCGCCCGUCACGCCAUGGGAGUCGGUAACACCCGAAGCCUGUAGUCUAACCGCAAGGAGGACGCAGUCGAAGGUGGGAUUGAUGACUGGGGUGAAGUCGUAACAAGGUA
rnacentral:rRNA from 1 species